rnacentral:tRNA from 1 species
GUUUUUGUAGCUUAUAUAUAAAGCAAAGGAUUUUUAAUCUUUCGUUGCAGUAAUUGUCAAAAAUAC